GCUGUUUUGAUUAAGAAAUGCCUUGUUGCUUUGGCUUGAAAAACAUACACAAGGUAUGGAUUUGAUUUUUAAGUAUCCUAUAUAUGUUUCUUAUCAAACAAAAAGAGUCCAAAGACGGCAAACUUACACAAUAUUAAGCUAAAAUUAAUUGCUUUUCGUCUUCCAGAGACUCCAGUAAAGACCAUAAUCAUCUGUUUAAGCGAUUUUCUAUGAUCAAAAUAUUACUAAAUUCUUUGUACAAACAUCUUAAAAUUGUUCUAAUUAUCAGACAUAACAUCAACAGCAGAUUGAUAUUAGACAACUAAUGAAAAAGAACAACUUGUACAAAAACCCAAUUGUUCCAUCGAACCUACCACCACACACAUAUAUACAUCAUAUAUUAUUUACAGACUAGACGCAUCGUAACAAGUUCUAAUUAACAAAGCCAAAUCUAAAGUACAAAAAAUAUAAACUGUGCAUAAAUCAUAUAUAUAACCGGCUUUAUUAACUAGAAAAUCACCAUUUUAGAUCAAAAGCAAACCAAGAAUCAGUCCAUCACUGACCAACAGAGAUGGAUUGUCCUUGGCCGGCUAAUCCAAGCCUCGAUCUCGAGUGUUGCCUGGUGAUCAUUCUUGUGAUAUCGGGAUGAGCCACUGAUCCACCGAUAAUAUUUUUCUCCGCCUCUCGCUUUACUUUCUUGACCUGGCUAUGAAUUGGAUGAUCAUAGCCUUCUCCCGUGCCCUUAUGCGGUUGUUCCUCCAUUUGCAUAAUUGUUAAACGCAACAGCAGAAAAAAGUCUCUAUUUGUACGAAUAUGACUCUGUUUACAAAUUUGUGUGUAUAAAUAGGUGGGAAGGGAGAACGGAAAGUUGGUGGGUAUGUGUUGUUUGGAUUGGGUUGAGACAGCAAUUUUGACUGUUCUAAGAAAAUUCGACGUAUACUGAAAGUUAAGUCUGGAACGUUCCAUUUGUCAAUUCAGUGGAGAGUUUGAUCUGUAUUGUGUCUGAUAAGAAGAACGAGUCAAAUUAGAGAAUAACGCGGUGCUUUUCGCAUUUGAAUUGAUCUAAUUAAGGUAUAUAAGAGGAAGAUGCCACGUUUAUUCCAUUAAAACAAGAUGGUCGGUCUUCUAAGCUAAUUAAGUAAUCUAGAAAUUGGUUGACGACGUAAAUGAAUCACAAACAAAUAUAUAGAUAUAUAGUUGACGUGCAGGAAUAAUAUUAAGAUAAUUAGUCCUUGUUUGAUGGCAAUGAAUUUUUUAUUUUUUUUUGUUGAAAUAAAUGAGUUUUGGAAUAAUAUUUUUUUUUUGAAGAAUGUGUGGUUAAAAAGUAGGAAAAUCUUCGAUUUACGUUCAAAAUAUUAUUGUGAGAAUGUGUAAUUGAAAGAGUUUUACACACAAAUUUUUUUUAAAUUAAAUUAAAUUAAAAAAUAGUAGACAAACAGGAGAUUUAUUACUUUAAAGCAGCAUUCUAAGAUGCGCACACAUAUGCCCGCAUAUGUUUGAUGCUUUUUCGAAACACUUCGCAUGUGGGGUAUGCGUGUGAUAAUACAAUCAAUCCAUUUCGUUGAUUGUAUAUGCACGAUUAAAUGCCAAAAUGCACACAUUGUGUUAAAAAUUGUGUCAAAAUUAUCUUAGCAAAUUCCAGCCCAUUUUUAUAACUAAAAAAGUAAAUUGAGGCCAACAAACAUCAAAUUAGACCAAAUCAUCCAAGUCUAGUGGUGGCAAUGGGCCGAACCCUUAAACACAAGCUCAAGCACGGCUUGUGCUCAAGGGGCGAGCUCGGCUCGGCCCAUGAGCUCAUUUUUUUUUUUUUUUUUCAAAUUUCAAAUUUUUUCUUCACAUUUUUUACGAGCCCUCGUGAAUGGCCCAUGAGCUGCUCGCGAGCUGGCUACCUCGGCUCAUUGGAUCCCACCCCUGCUUGGCUCGUGCUCGGACUUGUCAAACUGUCGACAAGCCGAUGAGCCGUUCCUCUAAUUUUAUUUUUGGGCAGUAUCUAGAUAUUUGGACAUAUUCAAUGCUUCUGCAGUAUACACACGCACAAAAAGUGGAAAUUUAGAAGGAAUCCUUGGUAUAGUGCUGACUUUCUUUUUCACUAUAAAGAGCUAGUAUUUUUCAAAAUUAGAUAUUUAUAUAGUCAGUUGAAUAAAUCAACUCCUAGAUGACUCUCCAUAAUUUUAUUCAAAAUAUGUUUGGCGUACGUGCAAAAAUUACGUUGCAAAUGCAUGUGUUAAAACAUUAACGACAAGUACAUUGCAAUCUUUCGUGACGUGCAUUAUCUUUUGUUGUAUUCGUGUACUCUAUAAUACCACCCUAACGUAUAAGUGGACGUUGUAAAAGACACGCGACAAUAUAUUCUGCUUGUUGUAAAGGACAAUUUUCUUGUAAUGUCUCUAAAAUUUUAUUUAGAAUCUGUUUGGUGUACCAAUUACCAUUAUGUAGCAGAAAGUAACAAUAUAUGCAAAAAGUAAACUUGCUUCAUUUUUUUUUUAAUCAAAAAAGGACUUCUUCACAAUACAGAAAUCAGGCAUAAAUUAAAAUACGCUGUUUUGAUUAAGAAAUGCCUUGUUGCUUUGGCUUGAAAAACAUACACAAGGUAUGGAUUUGAUUUUUAAGUAUCCUAUAUAUGUUUCUUAUCAAACAAAAAGAGUCCAAAGACGGCAAACUUACACAAUAUUAAGCUAAAAUUAAUUGCUUUUCGUCUUCCAGAGACUCCAGUAAAGACCAUAAUCAUCUGUUUAAGCGAUUUUCUAUGAUCAAAAUAUUACUAAAUUCUUUGUACAAACAUCUUAAAAUUGUUCUAAUUAUCAGACAUAACAUCAACAGCAGAUUGAUAUUAGACAACUAAUGAAAAAGAACAACUUGUACAAAAACCCAAUUGUUCCAUCGAACCUACCACCACACACAUAUAUACAUCAUAUAUUAUUUACAGACUAGACGCAUCGUAACAAGUUCUAAUUAACAAAGCCAAAUCUAAAGUACAAAAAAUAUAAACUGUGCAUAAAUCAUAUAUAUAACCGGCUUUAUUAACUAGAAAAUCACCAUUUUAGAUCAAAAGCAAACCAAGAAUCAGUCCAUCACUGACCAACAGAGAUGGAUUGUCCUUGGCCGGCUAAUCCAAGCCUCGAUCUCGAGUGUUGCCUGGUGAUCAUUCUUGUGAUAUCGGGAUGAGCCACUGAUCCACCGAUAAUAUUUUUCUCCGCCUCUCGCUUUACUUUCUUGACCUGGCUAUGAAUUGGAUGAUCAUAGCCUUCUCCCGUGCCCUUAUGCGGUUGUUCCUCCAUUUGCAUAAUUGUUAAACGCAACAGCAGAAAAAAGUCUCUAUUUGUACGAAUAUGACUCUGUUUACAAAUUUGUGUGUAUAAAUAGGUGGGAAGGGAGAACGGAAAGUUGGUGGGUAUGUGUUGUUUGGAUUGGGUUGAGACAGCAAUUUUGACUGUUCUAAGAAAAUUCGACGUAUACUGAAAGUUAAGUCUGGAACGUUCCAUUUGUCAAUUCAGUGGAGAGUUUGAUCUGUAUUGUGUCUGAUAAGAAGAACGAGUCAAAUUAGAGAAUAACGCGG
rnacentral:lncRNA from 1 species